AGCGGCGGAUGGGUGAGUAACACGUGGGGAACCUGCCCCUAAGUCUGGGAUACCAUUUGGAAACAGGUGCUAAUACCGGAUAAUAAAGCAGAUCGCAUGAUCAGCUUUUGAAAGGCGGCGUAAGCUGUCGCUAAGGGAUGGCCCCGCGGUGCAUUAGCUAGUUGGUAAGGUAACGGCUUACCAAGGCGACGAUGCAUAGCCGAGUUGAGAGACUGAUCGGCCACAUUGGGACUGAGACACGGCCCAAACUCCUACGGGAGGCAGCAGUAGGGAAUCUUCCACAAUGGACGCAAGUCUGAUGGAGCAACGCCGCGUGAGUGAAGAAGGUUUUCGGAUCGUAAAGCUCUGUUGUUGGUGAAGAAGGAUAGAGGUAGUAACUGGCCUUUAUUUGACGGUAAUCAACCAGAAAGUCACGGCUAACUACGUGCCAGCAGCCGCGGUAAUACGUAGGUGGCAAGCGUUGUCCGGAUUUAUUGGGCGUAAAGCGAGCGCAGGCGGAAAAAUAAGUCUAAUGUGAAAGCCCUCGGCUUAACCGAGGAACUGCAUCGGAAACUGUUUUUCUUGAGUGCAGAAGAGGAGAGUGGAACUCCAUGUGUAGCGGUGGAAUGCGUAGAUAUAUGGAAGAACACCGGUGGCGAACGCGGCUCUCUGGUCUGCAACUGACGCUGAGGCUCGAAAGCAUGGGUAGCGAACAGGAUUAGAUACCCUGGUAGUCCAUGCCGUAAACGAUGAGUGCU
rnacentral:rRNA from 1 species